rnacentral:rRNA from 1 species
UUGCAGUUAAAAAGCUCGUAGUUGGAUUUCUGGUAGGAGCGGCCGGUCCGCCCCGUAAUGGGGUGUGCACUAGAGCCGCCUCCGGCCAUCCUUGGGGGAACUGCCAUGGCCUUAAUUGGUUGUGGUAUGGAACCCAUCGUUUACUGUGAAAAAAUUAGAGUGUUUAAAGCAGGCUUAGGCCGUUGAAUACAUUAGCAUGGAAUAAUAAGAUAGGACCUUAUGGACCUCUUGUUGGUUUGCGCCGUAAGGUAAUGAUUAAUAGGGAUAGUUGGGGGUAUUCGUAUUUAAUUGUCAGAGGUGAAAUUCUUGGAUUUAUGAAAGACGAACUUCUGCGAAAGCAUUUACCAAGGAUGUUUUCAUUAAUCAAGAACGAAAGUUAGGGGAUCGAAGAUGAUUAGAUACCAUCGUAGUCUUAACCAUAAACUAUGCCGACUAGGGAUUGGCGGUCGUUAAUUUUAUGACUCCGUCAGCACCUUAUGAGAAAUCAAAGUCUUUGGGUUCCGGGGGGAGUAUGGUCGCAAGGCUGAAACUUAAAGGAAUUGACGGAAGGGCACCACCAGGAGUGGAGCCUGCGGCUUAAUUUGACUCAACACGGGAAAAACUUACC